rnacentral:lncRNA from 1 species
AAUAAUUUUGUAAAAAUAAUUUGCAGGAGGUUCUGACAUCUAAUGCUAACCUUGAAACUCUAUCAUAGAAUUGGUUGCUCAAAACAGAAAUCAAAAAGAAGGUAAGAGAGAAAAGAAGAAGAUGAAGAAUUCUGCAAGAGAAAGUAGAGGCAGAGAAAGAAAGGAGAAAAAGAGGAAAUACCAUGGCAGAGAUGAGUCAACAGAUCAUUCCAGAGAAAAGACAGAUCUGUUUUUUCCUACUCAAAAGGAGUGGAGUGAAAUCCAAGUCCUCCAAAAAAGAGACGGAAUGCUGUUCUACCUCACUACUCACUCCUACUCCAAACUUUAACUUUUGGACUCACAUCAUUUUUAGAAUGUUAAGCCAUUUUUCAAAGACAUUAGACUCCCAAGAGACCACGAAGUUACGACAUUGAAAACAAACCAGAGUGUUCACAGCAUCGCAAACUGCACUCCUUCCACCCUCCAGUCUUUCGAAAGGAGGUUUGGGAAGACAUGAGCUGUUGAGAAGUUGCCAGUUAAGAAGUCAGUUUGGAAGCCACUUUAAACCAAAGUUGCGUAAUCAGAACUGUUGGUCUUAAGUAUGUGUUUGAGUAAUGUAUUAAAUGGCAUUAACAUGGACAGUAAAACUCUUGCAUUAUUUUCUUCCCUGGAGGCAUAUAAUGCAAAACUUCAUUGACUGGAGCCAGUUUGGUAAAUGGGGCAGAAAAUGCCUGUAGAACUGAUGUAAUGUUACAAAGAAAGCGGAGCAUAAGAUGGCAUAUAAACUCCUAAUGGUAUUGUUUCCUAGAUUCUCCUUGUGCAGCAAAGUGAGUAUCGUUGCUGCUUUUAGGGGAAUAGCCCGAUUACAGUUAAGGCACCAAUGUAUACGCUGCCUGGCACACAUAUGACUAUGGGGCACAGAUUAGAAUUCAUUUCAUCGAGCUUUAAUUUCAUGUUCAGCCCCUUAAAAGUUCCAUAUCUUUUAAAUAUGCUGCCAGCAACCUGUUAUCUGGUAUAAUGAAAAGCAGUGUAACCACUCACCAAAUAAAAUCCCAUAUAAAAUCUAAACCUCA